AUGUUCAACCAGUUCAUACUAGUUCGUGGGUCAAUUAGAUUUUUACCUCUCACUGAAUUGAUAACUUAUUUUGUUCUUAAUCCAAUCAGUCCAACCAGUUUAGAUAACAUUGAAUUUUGAUCUUUUUUAUAUUUUUAAAAUAUUUUUUCAAAGAAGUCUUUAUUUUUGGAUUUUAAAAUGUUCUUUUUUUUCAUAUUUUUACGUUUAAAAAAUAUUUUUAAACAUAUUUGUGUUUAAAAUAAGAAAAAUGAUAAUUUUUAAUUUUAAAAAAUUACGUAUUUUUAAAGGGUAUAAACCAAAUUGACAAAAAAUUGUAAAUGUUAAGAACUAAAAUAGUUUAAAAGUUUUAAAAUCGGUUGACACGCGAAUUAAAAUGAACUGAUCUGACUGAACUAAAAAAUAAGUUGAAUUA
rnacentral:pre_miRNA from 1 species